rnacentral:rRNA from 5 species
GACUCGUCACACUAUCAUUAACUGAAUCCAUAGGUUAAUGAGGCGAACCGGGGGAACUGAAACAUCUAAGUACCCCGAGGAAAAGAAAUCAACCGAGAUUCCCCCAGUAGCGGCGAGCGAACGGGGAGGAGCCCAGAGCCUGAAUCAGCAUGUGUGUUAGUGGAAGCGUCUGGAAAGGCGCGCGAUACAGGGUGACAGCCCCGUACACAAAAGCGCAUGUGCUGUGAGCUCGAUGAGUAGGGCGGGACACGUGGUAUCCUGUCUGAAUAUGGGGGGACCAUCCUCCAAGGCUAAAUACUCCUGACUGACCGAUAGUGAACCAGUACCGUGAGGGAAAGGCGAAAAGAACCCCGGCGAGGGGAGUGAAAAAGAACCUGAAACCGUGUACGUACAAGCAGUGGGAGCACCCUUUGGGGUGUGACUGCGUACCUUUUGUAUAAUGGGUCAGCGACUUAUAUUCUGUAGCAAGGUUAACCGAAUAGGGGAGCCGGAGGGAAACCGAGUCUUAAU